rnacentral:lncRNA from 1 species
CUCCAGAAGUCAAAACACAAGAUUAGAUUAUACAAUCUCUAACAUCAGUAAAUACCAUAAGAUCUAUUCUACACAAGAACAACAACUAGCAAAUGACUUCAACUUAUUUGAAUAGUACAAUAAAGUAUAAGUAGGCCCAUAAUCUAUUGAAAAAAUAUAAUAAGCAUGACACAAGUAAGUAGAAAAUAACAAGGUUAAACACAAGAGAAGUGUGGAAUGAGAUACCUUUCAAUUCAACAUCCUUUACUUAUAGAUAGAUAUUACAUCCAUUUUGGCUAAUAUUCAUCUUUCUUUCAUCCAACUAAACCCUAGAUUCCUCUUAACUUAGCCGCCACUUUAAACCCUAGCCACCACCUAUAACUCUAGCUGCCAC